rnacentral:rRNA from 1 species
UACGUAGGGCGCAAGCGUUGUCCGGAAUUAUUGGGCGUAAAGAGCUCGUAGGCGGCUUGUCACGUCGGGUGUGAAAGCCCGGGGCUUAACCCCGGGUCUGCAUUCGAUACGGGCAGGCUAGAGUGUGGUAGGGGAGAUCGGAAUUCCUGGUGUAGCGGUGGAAUGCGCAGAUAUCAGGAGGAACACCGGUGGCGAAGGCGGAUCUCUGGGCCAUUACUGACGCUGAGGAGCGAAAGCGUGGGGAGCGAACAGG